rnacentral:rRNA from 1 species
GAUGAACGCUGGCGGCGUGCCUAAUACAUGCAAGUCGAGCGAACAGAUAAGGAGCUUGCUCCUUUGACGUUAGCGGCGCACGGGUGAGUAACACGUGGGUAACCUACCUAUAAGACUGGAAUAACUCCGGGAAACCGGGGCUAACGCCGGAUAACAUUUAGAACCGCAUGGUUCUAUAGUGAAAGAUGGUUUUGCUAUCACUUAUAGAUGGACCCGCGCCGUAUUAGCUAGUUGGUAAGGUAACGGCUUACCAAGGCAACGAUACGUAGCCGACGUGAGAGGGUGAUAGGCCACACGGGAACGGAAACGCGGUCCAGAGUCCUGCGGGAGGCAGCAGUAGGGAAUCGGACGCAGUGGGCGAGAGCCUGACGGAGCAACGCCGCGUGAGUGAUGAAAGUCUUCGGAGCGUAAAGCUGGGUUAUUAGGGAAGAACAGAUGUGUAAGUAACUGUACACGUCGUGACGGUACCUGAUCAGAAAGCCACGGCUAACUACGUG